rnacentral:tRNA from 6 species
GGGCACAUAGCUCAGUUGGUAGAGCAGCUGACUCUUAAUCAGCGGGUCGUAGGUUCGAUCCCUACUGUGCCCA